GAUGAAGAACGUAGUGAAAUGCGAUAAGUAAUGUGAAUUGCAGAAUUCAGUGAAUCAUCGAAUCUUUGAACGCACAUUGCGCCCCCCAGUAUUCUGGCGGGCAUGCCUGUUCGAGCGUCAUUUCAACCAUCAAGCCCUGCUUGUGUUGGGGUCCUGCGGCUGCCCGCAGGCCCUGAAAACCAGUGGCGGGCUCGCUAGUCACACCGAGCGCAGUAGCACAUCUCGCUCAGGGCGUGCGGCGGGCUCCAGCCGUUAAAGCACCCACCUUUCGCAAGGUUGACCUCGGAUCAGGUAGGAAUACCCGCUGAACUUAAGAAUAUCAAUAAGCGGAGGA
rnacentral:misc_RNA from 1 species